rnacentral:rRNA from 1 species
GACGUAGGGCGCAAGCGUUGUCCGGAUUUAUUGGGCGUAAAGAGCUCGUAGGCGGCUUGUUGCGUCGACCGUGAAAACCCGCGGCUCAACUGCGGGCUUGCGGUCGAUACGGGCGAGCUGGAGUUCGGUAGGGGAGACUGGAAUUCCUGGUGUAGCGGUGAAAUGCGCAGAUAUCAGGAGGAACACCGGUGGCGAAGGCAGGUCUCUGGGCAUUAACUGACGCUGAGGAGCGAAAGCAUGGGGAGCGAACAGG